UGUCUUCUCCUGACAACACGAACAUGC
rnacentral:piRNA from 1 species